rnacentral:rRNA from 1 species
AGGAUUAACGCUGGCGGCGUGCCUAACACAUGCAAGUCGAACGAGGUAGCAAUACCUAGUGGCAGACGGGUGAGUAGCGCGUGGUCAACCUACCGUUGAGUGGGGGAUAACUAGCCGAAAGGUUAGCUAAUACCGCAUACGUCUCCGAGGGGCAUCCCUUGGCGAUAAAAAGGAGCAAUCCGCUCGAUGACGGGACCGCGUCCCAUUAGCUAGUUGGUGGGGUAACGCCUACCAAGGCGUCGAUGGGUAGCUGGUUUGAGAGAGCGACCAGCCACACUGGGACUGAGAUACGGCCCAGACUCCUACGGGAGGCAGCAGUGAGGAAUUUUCCGCAAUGGGCGAAAGCCUGACGGAGCGACGCCGCGUGUGGGAAGAAGGCCUUCGGGUCGUAAACCACUGUCGAAGGGGAAGAUAAUGACGGUACCUUGGAGGAAGCCCGGCUAACUACGCGCCAGCAGCCGC